UCCAGUAUAUGAGCGCAGCUGAUCAGCCAUUCCGCGUGAGUGAGAAGGCCUUCGGGUUGUAAAGCUCUUUCGCAAGGGAAGAAAACUUAACCUCUAACAUAGGUUGAGGCUGACGGUACCUUGAUAAGAAGCACCGGCUAACUACGUGCCAGCAGCCGCGGUAAU
rnacentral:rRNA from 1 species